AUUUAAAAAAAUAAUUGUAAAAUGUUAAAUAACAACAUUAAAUUAUUUAAAAAGCUUAUCCAAAAAUAUUAAAUGGACAAUAAUCUAUAUGGACAAUGUUUUGGUUAUUUAGGUAUAAAAUUUGCAAUUCCCUGGCCAUUUUCCAACAUCUCACAAAUUAACGAAUAAACCUGUAUAAACUAGAAAGAAGUCAUUGGGGGAAAUGUUGGAGAACCGAAUAGGAAUGUGCCAGCUUUCAGCCAUAAUACAGAGAAUUACAGAAUAUUCCAGUACAGUCAUUUUGGCCUCAAAUUUUAAAAAUCCCUAACUUGUUCUUCACAAAUACUGGUUUAUUCAAUAAACAGCAUUGAUUGUACAUGGUUUUUUUACUGUAAAAUAUUUUUCAUAUGUUUUUACCAAUAAUGCCUGGCUGUCUUGCAAAGAGCAACAUUUGUAACUAUAGUAUUUAUUGUCAGUUCAUUUCCACACAGGUAGCUCAAUGUAUAUAUAUAUGUUUUGUGAUUUUGGUUACAUGUAUGUAGUGUAAACUCACAAUGAUUUGAAUAAUAUUAUUAAAAGAAAAAACUUUAUGUGCAGAAUGGAACAUGUCUGUGGGUUGUGUUAAGUAUGUUUCAAACUCCCCAAUGUUUAGAAUUUAUUUUUAAAUCAUAUUUUAUUAAAUACUAUUAAUUCUGGCGUUUUUAGUAAACUAAUUAAACCCGUCUUUCUUGCCUCUCCACAAAGGCCUGUGUGAUUUGUAAAAGAUGUUUACUAUUUUAAAAUGUAACAAUUCUGUCUUU